GACGAACGCUGGCGGCGCGCUUAACACAUGCAAGUCGAACGGAAAGGCCUGCUUUCCCUUGUGGAUUGCGGGUACUCGAGUGGCGAACGGGUGAGUAACACGUGAGUGAUCUGCCCCCAACUUGGGUAUAAGCCUGGGAAACUGGGUCUAAUUCCCGAUAGGACUGCAGGGUGGUGCCUGUGGUGGAAAACGAUUUUCUAGUGGUUGGGGAUGAGCUCGCGGCCUAUCAGCUUGUUGGUGGGGUAAUGGCCUACCAAGGCGGCGACGGGUAGCCGGCCUGAGAGGGUGGACGGCCACAUUGGGACUGAGAUACGGCCCAGACGCCUACGGGAGGCAGCAGUGGGGAAUAUUGCACAAUGGGCGGAAGCCUGAUGCAGCGACGCCGCGUGGGGGAUGACGGCCUUCGGGUUGUAACCUCCUUUCGACCGCGAGGAAGCCACCUGGUUGGAAGGGUGGUGACGGUAGUGGUAGAAGAAGCACCGGCUAACUACGUG
rnacentral:rRNA from 1 species